CCGUUUCAGAGUUAGAGAGAUUACCAGUUAUGUUGACAGGUGAAUGUAUGAUCAUUCCAGGUUUAAUUAGUGUUUGUGAUAGCAGCCACCAAUGUCAGAUAAAGCUUAUUGUCUUUACGUACACUGACACAGUCUCCUGUUUUUCCCGUUGUCGUCUAUAUCUACACUGGCCCGACAUUCGAGAUCUGCAUCAAUAUCAGUCAACUAUAUCUAAACGCAUCUUUUAACAUAUCAGGCAUACCAAGUACAUAAU